AGUCCCGUGGUGUAGCUGGCCAAUCAUAUGGGCCUUUGGACGCUUACUGUUCAACAGGGGCGAGAGACAGCCCAUGACGGCGGUUCGAAUCCGCCCGGGACUA
rnacentral:tRNA from 1 species